AAAAUCAGCAAGCAAAAUGGUUCUUGGAGAAGCAGACUCAAAGGAUUGAUCUAAUCAUCUAACAUUCUUUUAGUGUUUACUCAAGGGUUGCAUGAUCCAAUUUGGUACUUGAUAAUAUAUGUAAGACUAUAAUUUCAUGUAUCAAUAGAAGAAAAAGUGGCCUUCCACUUGUUGCUCAUGAGAAAUUUUCAGAAGCAAGAGAAGUCGAGGGCCAAAAUCGUUUCUUGGGCCGAGCGUUUCUUGGGGUUUGGUUGGUCCGCCACAAGCCGCGCCGUCGCCGCUACGAAGCUAGUCGACGACGAUAACCUUCCCAUCCCACUUUCCACAUCUAGUGUGGUCCAGCGUCGUGGCGGCCUUCUUCCCUGGCCCGUCCUCCAUAGGCGUUCUUCCUCUGGCCUCAGCUCCAUUGGAGAAGCGGCGAUUGGGUCCUCGCGGCUCAACAGAUGAUGUGAAGAAAUGGUGGAUAUGGGGUUAUUGGAUCUCACCUCUUAUGUAUGCACAAAAUGCAAUUUCAGUGAAUGAAUUAUUGGGUCACAGUUGGAGUUAUGUGAGAACAUUUCUUUUGUGGAAUCAAGUAUCAGCAAGUAAAAUUUAAGAGUUUCGCAGAUUUGGAACCAAACAGAGCCUUCUCUAGGAGUAUGUGUUUUGAGGGCACAGGGAAUUUCCCCUGAAGCAAAAUGGUAUUGGAUCAGUUUGGGGGCCUUGGUUGGUUACGUACUUCUGUUCAAUGCUCUUUUCACAAUGGCUCUUACAUUUCUCAAACCAUUUGUCAAAUUUCAUCCACCUAUAUCUGAGGAGACUUAAAAGGAAAAACAUACCAAUCUAAUUGGUGAAGUGUUGGACCAAUUAUCUAGAGGGAAGAAAUCUAGUCCACCCUCUUCAUCCAAGGCUGAUGGAAUUAUGAGGGAAGAUAGCACAAAUGAAACAUCUAGUGAUAUAAAUAAGAAGGGCAUGAUCCUCCCCUUCACUCUGCUUUCCAUUACCUUUCACAACAUACGAUACUAUGUGGGCAUGCCGCAGAUAAUAAUAUAUCCUUAUGAAAUGAAAAGUCAAGGUGCGGAAGAAAAUUGUUUGAUGCGCCUCAAGGGUAUAAGUGGAUGUUUAAAGCCAGGAGUACUUACAGCACUAAUGGGCAUCAGUGGUGGUGGAAAGGCAACAUUGAUGGAUGUGUUGGCUGGGAGAAAAACAGGUGGCUACAUAGAAGGAAAUAUCACCAUCUCAAUCUCUUGUUUAUUCUGCAUUGCUUCGAUCAUCUGCUGAUGUUGAUUCUGCAACAAGGAAGGUUUGUCAGCUAAAAAGGAUGGUCCCAAGCUUACGUUACUUAAGUUGAUUCACCUAAAGAUUAUCUCAAGCUAUUUCUUGCAGAUGUUUGUGGAAGAGGUCAUGGAUCUUGUAGACUUGGCAUCAUUAAGAAAUGCACUUGUUGGUUUGACAGGAGUAAAUGGGUUAUCAACUGAACAGUGAAAGUCAAGGUCGCAUCUGGUAGUCACAACUGACCAGAGAAAGUCAAGGGUAGCUAUUAGGAUGGUAGCUUAAAAGCGAAAGUCACACCUGAAAAUCAAAGACCCACUCGUUACCAUUCCAGAAUGGAGCAAGCCGCAUCUGGUCGUGACCAAACUGUAUCUUCUUGUGAAGGUGAAGCAAUUUCACAACAAAUUGUGACCUGUCAAUCCUUGCAAUCUUUGUUGGACAUUGCCUCAAGAUCAUAUGUGAAUCCAGUGUCUUGUAUUCUUAUGAGACUACGGACAGUGCAAAAUGUUGCAUUCGAGGCCCGAGUGUACCUUCAAAGGUAGGGGAAGUUCUUGCUGAAAUCCAUCAAAGAGAAACACCAAUGGGGACUACCAUUGACAAUGAGGGAGUCCUAAUAGUUCCCCACCCUAGUGAGCCACUAGAAAGUGAAACAUUGUUGCAAUUUUCAAGGACUUCAGCAAUGUGGCAAUCAAUAGAGUCGAUGAAGGUAUUCCAGUUGAUGCCACAAAAUCCUCAUUUUUGCUUACUGGAGAAGUAUGCUAUGGAAUUUCGAGAAGGGAUGGCUAUAGGUCUUAUGUUGUCUUUUGCCAACUUAGUGACCAAUAUAAAACUGUUACAUAUUGAUGAUGUUCAAUAUACUUUUGAGGAGAGGAUGAGAGCGCUAGCCUUCCUGGAGGAGAAUGAAGUUGAUGUCAGUCAAUUACGUUCUUGGCUCUAAAAGCUGCUUGACACAUUACAAUCAGAGACAAUUUGAGACUAGAAAGACAUCAAUUGAAGCAAGGAUUGCAGAGAAAAAGGCCGACAUUGAUAGGCUUCAGUCAUCCAUUACUUAGUUGGAAAAACCAUCUUGUAACUUGAACAAAAUCUAACUAGUGCCCAUAAGACUAAAGAUUCAGCAAUUUUGCAAAAGAGCCUCAAUAAUGCUUAGAUAUCUAAAUUGGAAAUGAGCAUCUAUGAAGUUGAAAAAAGUUACAAUCAACUGUAGCAAGUUUCAAAGCAACAGCAAAUUCCAUAACUACCUUGUGUGAUCUUGCUUGUCUAAUCUUGUUUUGUCUGAAGCAAAUUUCUUGUAUGCCUCGUGGUGAAUACUGCAUUAAAUGGUAGCUUGUUGGCUGUAAAUUUAAUCUCAGGGCAAAAGGUGUUGCCUCCAUGAACAAUGGUUUGUUUUGUUUGACUACGCACGAGUGCUUAUCACUGUGCUUGCUGCAUGCCUUUUGUAAAUGAUUAUAUUAUCAAGUAAA